rnacentral:rRNA from 1 species
CAGUAGCCACGGUAAUACGUAGGGUGCAAGCGUUAAUCGGAAUUACUGGGCGUAAAGCGUGCGCAGGCGGUUCGUUAAGACAGAUGUGAAAUCCCCGGGCUUAACCUGGGAACUGCAUUUGUGACUGGCGGGCUAGAGUAUGGCAGAGGGGGGUAGAAUUCCACGUGUAGCAGUGAAAUGCGUAGAGAUGUGGAGGAAUACCGAUGGCGAAGGCAGCCCCCUGGGCCAAUACUGACGCUCAUGCACGAAAGCGUGGGGAGCAAACAGGAUUAGAUACCCGCGUAGUCCCUGUCUCUUAUAC